rnacentral:rRNA from 1 species
AGCAGUCGCCACGGUAAUACGAAGGGUGCAAGCGUUAAUCGGAAUUACUGGGCGUAAAGCGUGCGUAGGCGGCUUUGUAAGUUAGAGGUGAAAGCCCAGAGCUCAACUCUGGAAUUGCCUUUAAGACUGCAUCGCUUGAAUCCAGGAGAGGUGAGUGGAAUUCCGAGUGUAGAGGUGAAAUUCGUAGAUAUUCGGAAGAACACCAGUGGCGAAGGCGGCUCACUGGACUGGUAUUGACGCUGAGGUGCGAAAGCGUGGGGAGCAAACAGGAUUAGAUACCCGGGUAGUCCCUGUCUCUUAUAC